rnacentral:tRNA from 2 species
GCCGGUGUGGCGGAAUUGGCAGACGCAAAGGACUUAAAAUCCUUCGGAAUUUUUUUCCGUACCGGUUCAAGUCCGGUUACCGGCA